rnacentral:lncRNA from 1 species
AAGCUGCAGCUGCAGCUGCAGCCACUGCAUGGAGGCGCAAUUGUCUUUGCAGUUCAAUUGCAAUUGCAGGUUGCAUUUGCAAUCCCAGUUCUGGUCCCGGUUGCAAUUUGCAACUUGGAGUCUGCAGGUGCAGUUUGCAGGUGCAGUUGCAGCUGUCCUUGUUGCAGUUGCAGUUUGCUCCCCUCCUCCCAUGUGCUCUCUCUGCAGGAUGCAUUGCUGGGGUUGGGUGCUGCCAUCGACGCCGCCCACCUGCAGGAUGCGCUGCGUGCUGCAUUGCUGGCGCUGCUGCCCCGCGUGGAGCACUCCUACAUCUACCUGCUGGAUGGGGACGCCCGGCUGAGCUGCGCUGACCCCCCCCAUGAGCUUCCUAUGGAGGGGAAGCUCAGGUAACACCUCCCCCCCCUCAGCCCCCCAAUGUGUGGGGCAGCCAUAGGGCAGAGCUGCCCCCCC